rnacentral:rRNA from 1 species
AUGCUCCCGUGGUCCUUGCGAUCAGCAGCUCGCCGCUUGGCUGCCGCCACACGCGCAGCGGGCUCGGCUGCGGUGGCGGCACCGGCACCGUGGCAAGAAAGGCCGCCUGCUGUCGAGGAUAGAGAGGAGCGGGCCGCCGUGUGGGAGGACGAUCACUGGCCUCGCCGUCGACCUCGACGGAGCGAUUUCUCAUGUACUACAAAGGCCUCGACAGAUCAUUCUGGCUUGACCCGACAACUUCUAGAUUUUCAACAUGAUACUGUAGAUGAGACAGAUGGAGGAUAUGAUCCAUUCAGUCAACUAAAAGAGAGGUUCACGGACUUCAAGCAACGAAACUAUGUGGAAAAUUUUACCAAUUAUCAAAAACUUGCUGAGCAGCAAACACCAGAGUUCAUGGUGGUUGCUUGUGCUGACUCCAGGGUCUGCCCUACCAGUAUUUUAGGGCUUCAGCCUGGUGAUGCAUUCACUGUCCGUAAUGUGGCAAAUUUGGUACCACCAUAUGAGCAUGGAGCUUCAGAGACUACUGCAGCACUAGAGUUUGCUGUCAACUCACUUCAGGUACCUAAUGUGUUGGUGGUAGGUCAUAGUCGUUGUGGUGGCAUCCAGGCACUAAUGAGUAUGAAGAGUAAGAAAGACGAUCGUAGCUCUAGAACCUUUAUCAGAGACUGGGUCUCACUUGGGAAGAGUGCAAGAUUAAGCACAGAAGCAGCAGCUGGAAAUUUGAGUUUUGAAUCACAGUGCAGACAUUGCGAAAAGGAAUCAAUUAAUAGCUCACUGUUGAACUUGUUAACAUACCCUUGGAUAGAGGAAAGGGUGAAGGAAGGGAAUUUGAACCUUCAUGGGGGAUACUACAACUUUAUUGAUUGCACAUUUGAGAAGUGGACAUUAGUGUACCGUCCAGGGCUGGAAGGUGGCAGCAAGUAUGCCAUAAAGAACAGGUCUACCUGGUCUUGA